rnacentral:tRNA from 1 species
GGAGGGAUUCCCGAGUGGCCAAAGGGGGCGGACUGUAAAUCCGUUAGCUCAGCUUUCGGUGGUUCGAAUCCACCUCCCUCCACCA